GAUUACCAUACAUAAACACUUGUGGGUUAACAAUAUUCUAGGGUAAACUCAACUCACACACGCACUCUCCCCUAUUUCUAGAUUAUUCUAACCUGAUCUCAAAUGCCCCUAGUAGUCACCAUGACUAAAUUCUUCCAACAAGUGGGAGUUGUUUGUGUUCCAGCACUAAUUAAUUUCAUAGUUUAAUGUCGACAUUAGAUUUACUGGUUGUAUAAACUAACAGUAGUCAACAACUAAUGAAUUGGGCUAGCAACAUCACACAACUUUCCAAUCAUGAGUGGUGGUAUGACAGACUUAGAGAAGAAGUUGAUUAAAACUGGGAAGCUUGCUGCAGAUGUCUAUUCAAGAGCCUUAACACAUGCUAUUAGCUCUGUGUGCACUAAAGUUAUCAAGAAGGAUGAAUGUUCGCUUAAAUCAUCUGACUCAGAGUGUAUGGAUUUUUGUAAUUUUAGAACUAAAGCUCCAUGCCAGAAUAGCUGCAAUG